CAUGAUUCAUAAUGCAGCAUGACUAAGGUAAAGAAGAAGAGGAUAUAUUAAUUAACAUGAUUCAUAACGCAGCAUGACUAAGGUAAAGAAGAAGAGGAUAUAUUAAUUAACAUGAUUCAUAACACAGCAUGACUAAGGUAAAGAAGAAGAGGAUAUAUUAAUUAACAUGAUUCAUAACACAGCAUGACUAAGGUAAAGAAGAAGAGGAUAUAUUAAUUAACAUGAUUCAUAACACAGCAUGACUAAGGUAAAGAAGAAGAGGAUAUAUUAAUUAACAUGAUUCAUAACACAGCAUGACUAAGGUAAAGAAGA